GCCGGGCGCGGUGGCGCGUGCCUGUAGUCCAGCCUACUCGUGAGGCUGAGGCUGGAGGAUCGCUUGAGUCCAGGAGUUCUGGGCUGUAGUGGCGCUAUGCCGAUCGGGUGUCCGCACUAAGUUCGGCAUCAAUAUGGUGACCUCCCGGGAGCGGGGGACCACCAGGUUGCCUAAGGAGGGGUGAACCGGCCCAGGUCGGAAACGGAGCAGGUCAAAACUCCCGUGCUGAUCAGUAGUGGGAUCGCGCCUGUGAAUAGCCACUGCACUCCAGCCUGGGCAACAUAGCGAGACCCCGUCUCUU
rfam:Pan troglodytes isolate Yerkes chimp pedigree #C0471 (Clint) chromosome 14, whole genome shotgun sequence.